rnacentral:rRNA from 1 species
UACGAAGGGGACUAGCGUUGUUCGGAAUUACUGGGCGUAAAGCGCACGUAGGCGGAUUUGUUAGUCAGGGGUGAAAUCCCGGGGCUCAACCUCGGAACUGCCUUUGAUACUGCAAGUCUCGAGUCCGAUAGAGGUGGGUGGAAUUCCUAGUGUAGAGGUGAAAUUCGUAGAUAUUAGGAAGAACACCGGUGGCGAAGGCGGCUCACUGGUCCAUUACUGACGCUGAGGUGCGAAAGCGUGGGGAGCAAACAGG